UACGAAGGUGGCAAGCGUUACUCGGAUUUACUAGGCGUAAAGGGCAGGUAGGCGGUUUGGUUAGUCUGUUGUGUAAGCUCCCGGCUUAACCGGGAGAGGUCAACAGAUACUGCCAGGCUGGAGUAUGGGAGAGGGUACUGGAAUUCCCGGUGUAGCGGUGAAAUGCGCAGAUAUCGGGAGGAACACCAAUGGCGAAAGCAGGUACCUGGACCAUUACUGACGCUCAGCUGCGAAAGCUAGGGGAG
rnacentral:rRNA from 1 species